AACGCUAGCUACAGGCUUAACACAUGCAAGUCGAGGGGAAACGAUAUUGGAAGCUUGCUUCCGAUAGGCGUCGACCGGCGCACGGGUGAGUAACGCGUAUCCAACCUGCCCACCACUUGGGGAUAACCUUGCGAAAGUAAGACUAAUACCCAAUGAUAUCUCUAGAAGACAUCUGAAAGAGAUUAAAGAUUUAUCGGUGAUGGAUGGGGAUGCGUCUGAUUAGGUAGUUGGAGGGGUAACGGCCCACCAAGCCAUCGAUCAGUAGGGGUUCUGAGAAGAAGGUCCCCCACAUUGGAACUGAGACACGGUCCAAACUCCUACGGGAGGCAGCAGUGAGGAAUAUUGGUCAAUGGGCGCGAGCCUGAACCAGCCAAGUAGCGUGAGGGAUGACGGCCCUAUGGGUUGUAAACCUCUUUUAUGCGGGAAUAAAAUGUUUGACGUGUCAUACAUUGUAGGUACCGCAAGAAUAAGGACCGGCUAAUUCCGUGCCAGCAGCCGCGGUAAUACGGAAGGUCCAGGCGUUAUCCGGAUUUAUUGGGUUUAAAGGGAGCGUAGGCCGCAAGUCAAGCGUGUUGUGAAAUGCAGGGGCUCAACCUCUGGAUUGCAGCGCGAACUGGCAUGCUUGAGUACGCACGAGGUAGGCGGAAUUUGUGGUGUAGCGGUGAAAUGCUUAGAUAUCACGAAGAACUCCGAUUG
rnacentral:rRNA from 1 species